UUGAAUCACACAGUUGGCAAGAAACAGAUUGGCCUCCUCGUUUGCCCGACCUGAAUUCUCUAAACUCUCAAUCCUUUAGUGCUUUUAUUUUAACAAACGUACACACUUAUACCUGACCUCAAGGAAUGAUCUAGUUAAAAUAUAGCAGUACUGUGACUUUCUAUAAGUAUUACGUAUUAAUUGAAAGAAUCGGCAACUAUGGUGCUUGUAGCAUGUUGUAGUGGACCAAAGAUCAUGAAACAAUAUCGAAACGGGAGGGAACAUGAUCUGUACGUCAUCAAGACGUAAUGCGACGUCAUCUUGCAGCCGAGAAGCGACUACCAAAGCCAACCGCGAAUUAUUGUGUUAAUAUGUUCAAGCGUUAAGAUCUCAGGAAUUUAACAUUGUAUAUCUAAUUGAAUAAAUAUUAUGUUACUUUAA